UUGCAGUAUUUGGAAAUUAAAUUUUGAUAUUGUGCUUUUAAAGAAAGGCAUGAUGCUUUUAUUUCCUUUCUUUAUGGCUACCUCAUAACACAGGUUUGACCCUUUCUGUGCAAAAUCCUUGCCAACAUUUUGCUUGUUCUAGCCUUUUGAAAGCCAUAAAUAGCACUGCAUUCUUGCAUAUUUUCUAAGAGUGAAAAUGCAUUGGAAAAUGUAUUUUUUCUGUCCUAUAUUAGGGCAGGAGAGGCAAGGAGUAAUUCUGUCAUUUACUUCAGAAUCCCUAUACUUACAGCUAGGGAUGUGAGUUGUGGGUUCUGCAUCAGUGCUAGCAGAGCUCUUCAUACUCUUCGUAGUAACUUCAGCUGGUCCAUCUCCACCCAUGUGUGAGAAGAAUGGUGUGCUUUCCUCUCAUCUCUCUGUAUUUACAGAGUAUCAUGGGUAAUGACUUCACUUUUCCUGGAACAAGCCAAGUGCUGGCAUGAAAAGAUCCCUCUCACUCUGCAUGAAAGUAAAUCAGGAGUUUCAUAACUGCAGGGACCAGACAAGAAAAAUUGGAAACUGCAAAACUAAAAUAAAUUUCUCUUGUCUAUACUCAUAAGAAAAAUGAUCAAUUAAGUAGCAGAAAAGUUUCCUGACUUGUCAUAUGUAUUAAGAUGUUACUUAUGCAUCUGCACUUUUCUGCAGGUACUUCUUGUCUUUCUAGAAAAAAAAAAAAAGAUAAAUUUCCUGUGUUUAACAAUGUGGUUCAGAGCUUCCACUUCAGAAAAAAAUUGUACAAUGCAGCAUGCACUGUGGACAAUUAAGUAGAGACUGGACACCUUUAUAGAGCUAAGUUUGAGGUGUAGUGAAACACCAUAAACAGGGAAAAGUUAAAGCUUUGCCAUUUCCCAUGAAGAUGACUAAAAUCUAGAAGCCUUGAUCUAAAAUCUCAUUAAUAUUUUUAAUUGAAACCUUUGAAGAGCAUUUUGCAUUUGACUCCAUCUUCCCUAAGAAUGGGCAGAAAGUAUUCCACAGUCCCCAGAUCAUGCUUGACUGUGUAGGAAACCCACACUGUACAGUGAGUGUGUGUUUGAGGAAAGGUUUGAUUGAUCCUUAAGACAGCCUGAUUUAGAAGUGGUUCUUCCAAUACAGAUGAAUUCAUCAGUGGUGUCCUGGAGAGGAACGUUGAGCACUGGUGGCACAUAAGGUGCAAAUCUUGGAUGGUCCUUUGAGAUGUGCUGCAGUUUCCUGGGAUAUUGUUCCCUAUUGCAGUGACACUGGUGGCUGCUCCUGAACAGGAAAAUAUUUGUUGAAUUGUAGGAUUAGUCUGUCCAAAUGAAUGUUUCGCAUUCGUUGUGUCUUUUGUCUUCAUUGCUGGUCAGGAUGUCUCCUCUGCGGAUAUAUGGGCAGACAUGGAGGCUGUCGACUGACUGGUACAGACUGCAGUCCAAAAGCCCUACCCAGGGUGAUCCUCUGUGUCGUGCAUCAAGAAUAUUCAAAACUGAACAUUACUAUCUGAUGAUCCUUUCCCUCUGUUUUGGUUUGAGAGUCUGUGGAUCUUUUCUGUGAGAUAUGAAGCACUGGGCUCCUUAGGCUUGUGUUCCCCUCCCAGCUGCAGAGGAACCCAGCAUCUAAGCAGGAUCUGUCCCUGCAGAGCUGCCUGUGGAGUAAGUUGCCAGCUAGCUGUAGUGUGUGUUCCCCCAUGGCUUGAAAUAUUGUCAGAGGGAGAAUCUGUGGAGGAUUUCUUGUAAUCUGAUUGCACUAUUUUUCAGCCACACAAGCAAUAAAUAUUUAAAGUCUGGUUGUAGGCGAUAUAACAACUCUGUAAAUACAUGCUUCUGAAUACAGAAGUAAGAGGCUGAUCUUUUCUUUUAAGAGGAAACAAAUACAUCUCUGUUUGGCAUAAAGUGUCCUCCUCCCCAUUCUGUAAGGAAGAAUGUGUUGAGGCAAUUUUUCUGCUAUGAAUGAAGGUGAAAACUAAAGGCAGAAAAGUACUGCUGCAUAUUUAUUGCUACCUUCCGGCGAUCCUCUGUUCUUUUCCAUUUCUCAGAUCAAGGUAUUAAAUCAAAGCCCAGGAAAAAAAGGCAAAGAGUGAGAGAGGGAACUGAGAGAAAUGAACAGCUUCACUCUUUCUCCUGCUGCAUUCUCUCUCCCUGCCUGUCCCCAUCCUGUUUUUUUCCUGAAGAGAGAAGCUGUGAACAGUAAUAGAGAUAGGAAGCAGUAUGAGAGUUCCUGUGACAUUUUCUGUCUUCUCUACAGCAUUGCAUGAACUUCCACUAUUCCAAGUAAUUUGGUUUUACAGGAGUACUUACAGUUAGCUUUCACAAACUGAAAUUGAGUAUCAGCAUGAGUCUGAAGAUACUGGGCCAAUAUCAGCACUAGUGCAAAAGGGCGGGGGUGGCCAGAGAGGUGAGAAAGACCUGUGGAUAUGACUCAAAAAUGAGGGCACUAUCCUUAUCCUUGGACAUUGACCACAGACUUUGUGUAGUGCAGAAAUAAAUCCAGGCUUGUUUUGAUGUCCUUUGUUAUGAUUAAACUAGAUUUUUUGCCUCUAGAAUAGUUCUGGAAGGAAAAAAAAUGUACUCUGGCAUUGACUGAAGGGAGAUCUAGGGUCUCAGCUGAUUUAAGCCAAGCAGCAGAAUUAUGGCAGUGGGGAAGUACCUGGUUCGGCACAUUGCCCUCUCUAGCUUUCCUGUUCUUUCUUUUUUCAAAAGAGCUUCCUGUAUUUUUGGAGGUGAUUUUAUGAAGUGCUUUUGGAAUUGAGAAGUAACUUGGUGAUUUGACUCAUGUGGUUUGUUUCUCCUCUGUGAGGCAUAGUUAGUAAAGUUUUUUGAAUAUAUAAAUGAUUAGCUAAAUGUGAUGAUGUGUGAAGAAUCUUACACCUCUGCUCUUUCUGAAAUCCAUUUAAUGAACAAAUUCCUUAGUGGUCAUCUCAGAAACCAUUAUCAAACAACUCUUACCUACUAAGAGAAAUUUCUUUUCCAAAAAUCCUAGCUUAGGCAUGGUAGAAUAUUUAUUACAUGGCUGGCAGUAUUCUUCUGCCUGAGGGAUGGACUGCAAUUACAGCAUGGUAAAUAUUUCAUUAGAACAAAGCAAAACUGCAUGGGAAGUGGCCUUCCCUUUAUUUAAAACAUUUAUUAAAAUACAGUGUUAGAAUCUACAUGGGAAUAAUUCUUUCUCCCUAAUCUACCAACUAAGCUACAAUUUUAGGCGAGACAUUUUGUUAUUACAAAACCUUGCAUAUUAGAGCAAUCUAUCUUCUCCUCUGAGAAAGAUGGACAUCUUAACACAGAUGAAACUUAGUGUACACUGAUGUUCCUUAUACCAUUCUGGCUUCUUCAAGGAAGAAAGAGCAGGUGCAGUGAUUUCAGUGCCCUUACAAAAUCCCUUCUCUUCAAAACGACAAUGUAAAUGUAAUUUAAGUACAAGACCUAAACACAAAUGAAUGUUGAAUUCUGCACACAAGAGUGGGAAGUAGUCACUUGAUAGUGCAUAAAGAUGCAUGUGCAGUUUUGGAGAGUAAUGUUCUACAAUAAACACUUCCUGAGUUCCACUUGUUUUAAAAUCGUCCACUUCUCUGGACAGUGAAAAUAGGGACAAAGACAAUUUAUGAGGGCUCAUCCAUAUCAUCUAUCCCUCUAUUCUUAGUGAAUAGAAAAACCAUCUAUGAGCAUAUAUGAGGAAUGAGGUCUUACUGAACAGUAAUCUGGCUGUAACUCCUUUUCACUGGAGAUCAUCUUUCUACCAGAGCACCAGGUUAUACAACGUUGUCCUGGGCAACCCAAAGUGUUAUUGUAUUCCCUAUCUACCUGUUCCCAAAAUUAUUACUGUCUCUCUAAGACCCGGCAGCUGGACACGGAACCACAGAGGUCAGCGUGGCAGGUUCUUUUAAGGUCAGGGUCGCUGAGGCAGAAUUCUCUUGCCCUUUUCCUUUCUUUCUUUAGGGGAAGCUGAGACAGGGCAAGGCAGAAGCCUUCUUUUGUUCUCUGUGAGCUCCUUGUCUGCUUGCAAGGAAAGCAUUUUGCAAUGCUAAACUGCUUCAAGAAAAUUUCACAAUACCUGUCUAGAGCCACAGUGUGGAGCCAGAGCCAUCGGGGCUGGGAGGUGCUGGUUUCGGUGCUUGGAGAGACCAGUUGUGCCCUACAACACACCAAUGAAUGGCUCAGAAACUGCAGUGCUGGCACCAGCCAGGUCCAGCCAGCCGAGGAGGAGGCAGAGGAAUUGACUCUGCAGGUUUGCCGAGUUCUCCGGCGCCUGAGUUUCCCAGCCACCAGAGUCUUUCAGCCGCCCUUGUCAACAAAGCUGGCAAGGCUGGAGAGAUUGAGGGGCAUUGCCCUGAGAUUCAGCAACUUUGUUUCCAGUUAUUAUUUACUGUUAUUUUGCCUGUUGCUGUUUCAUUUUUUUAGUAAACAGUAACUUUUCCGCUUAUAUCUACUCACACUUGUCUCUCUUUAUAGGUGCAAAGGGAAGGGUUAAAGUAAAAGGGGAGGUAAUUAAAUUUGGAAUGUCCACUCCCUUAAAUUGUCCUAAACAAAGACAACGUUUAGGCAGUACCCCACUUUAUCUGCUAGAGGUCUGUGAUGAGGGCCCAAGUCUGUAGCCUGGUCCUUCUUCCUUCUGCAAAGGCUAAGAAAUGAAAAGAUCACCUCACUGUACCAGUCAUAGGCAGCCUCAAACCUCAGCUCAAGUUUUGUUCUUGAUUUUUUCCCUGGUCUCUUAGAAAGUUGCAAAAGUACUUGACUAUGCUGCAGAAUGUGCAAAACCAUUUCUCGUGGAUCAGCAUUACACUCAUAGCAUGAUUUUCCAUCUGUCCCAGCUGCUGCCUCUGCUGCUGUCCAGCAACAGGGAGCUCCAACUCGUCUCUGGGCAAAAUGCACUUCUUCCUGUCUGUGUGAGUUGUUUUUAAGUUGUUGCUAGCUGUAAAUGAGCAGGAUGACUUUACCAGAGAAGAGUCAACCAAGAUUUCUGGCUCACAUUAGCUAGUCCAGAGGAUUUUAUUGUCUUAUUGGUGUGUUCUGUCCUAACACCCCAAGCUCCAUAGUGACUUCUCCAACUACACUGGAAAGCUGACACACUGCAAAAGUUAAUGGACAGUGAAAACUCUCUCUAGGGAGCCCUUACCAUACUUGAUGUUACAAGCUUCCAGAUGCUGAAAAGCUGUGUCCCCUUGUUUAAAGCCAAGGCUGUUUCUCACCCUGAGAAAGGGAUCCUGCAGUAAAUCUACUCUGGGGUAGAAGAUCACCAUAUAUUGCAUAUGGCAUGAGCUAGGUCCCAAAAUGCAGCAUCAGCUCCAGAGACAAAAAUGAGUUUAGGUUCAAUGCUGAUUUCUUUUGGGCUGCCUCCAGACUCUGAGGAUGCAAGUGCAAAUCUUUCUAGUGAGACUCACAAGAAUACGCAAAUGGACCACAAGCCAGUCUCCAAAGUUGCACUCCCAGGGCUGGGCUUCCAUGCAGUGCAAUACAGAAGUCCUGAGCAAACAGAAGCUUAAGCCAGCACAUUUUCAGAGGACUGAGCAACUGAGCCACAGGAGCCCACUGAUGUGCUGCUGACUCUUCCCAGGCCAAUGGGCUGGCAGUGAGAGGAAGCCAUACUCUGCUUCCCAGUGCCUCCUCCUACAGGGCUGGCAAAUACAGGAUCAUUUCAGAGCCCUUUGAAAUAGCUCUGAGCUACUUAAACUUAGACACUUUAAGCUUUUUUUCCAUUUUUUCCUUCCCCUCUCCCCCCCCUUUUUUUUUCUUUAAUUCCUUCUGUAAGAGACAGAAAUGAGUUGCUCAGAGACAAGGAGUCUGAAUUUACAGAGGUGGUCAUUGGCAUGCUAGGCAGUGCCUGAGCAUUGGAGGUGUAAGAUUUCAUGUGAUAAAAGCAGCUGAAGUAACACUUCUUUUGGGUGCCUAAUUUCUUCAGAAGCCUAAUCCUUGCACUCUCCCUUUGCAGGUCGCAGGAUUAAUGCAGCAUCCACACAGGCAUGCUCUCCUUCAGAAAGACAUUUGCCACUGGAGACUCUGAGACAGCCCACAAGGCUGGAAGGACCUCUGCAGUGCCCCUGUCCGUCUGGGCUUGAAUGCUCGUUCCCAGGGUCAAGGACCAAAGGAAGAUGUGCAGGAACCGUGGAAAUUCCCGGUGGAGCAGCUACACACACUCCCAGAGCUGCCAUGGAAGUUUCAGUUUGGGUCCGAGCUGUGUAACUCUAAGACAGAGCCUCUCCUUCUCCCAGAAAGCAGAAGAACCUGGGAAACCUCAGGAUCAUCAAACAGCAGUUCCCUUUUGAAUACAAGAGCUCUGAUGUGAGCAUGGUAAGAUGACAUUGGAUCUCAUUCUCUGGAGCUGACUCCUUGGUCAGUAAAGUCUCUUUCUCUGUAUACCUCAGAUGUUACCUCCUUUAACAAUGAUUGACAUUAAUCAUGGUGGCAGUUCUGUGUUAUUCCUGUUGCAACUAGACAGCUAGCAUUGUUUGUGGAUAUUCAUCUAUCUGGGUUUGUCACUGGACUCUUAACUGGUGCAUACAUACUCUUGACAGCAGCAUGUGAACUAGGAAGAGCCAAGGCCUUUUCUGCUUUCUGUACUGCCAUGCUGGCAAAGAAGUUGGGGGUGCAUGUGGA